rnacentral:rRNA from 1 species
CCUACGGGAGGCAGCAGUGAGGAAUAUUGGUCAAUGGGCGCGAGCCUGAACCAGCCAAGUAGCGUGAAGGAUGACUGCCCUACGGGUUGUAAACUUCUUUUAUAAAGGAAUAAAGUGAGGCACGUGUGCCUUUUUGUAUGUACUUUAUGAAUAAGGAUCGGCUAACUCCGUGCCAGCAGCCGCGGUAAUACGGAGGAUCCGAGCGUUAUCCGGAUUUAUUGGGUUUAAAGGGAGCGUAGAUGGGUUGUUAAGUUAGUUGUGAAAGUUUGAGGCUCAACCGUAAAAUUGCAAUUGAUACUGGCAGGCUUGAGUACAGUUGAGGUAGGCGGAAUUCGUGGUGUAGCGGUGAAAUGCUUAGAUAUCACGAAGAACUCCGAUUGCGAAGGCAGCCUACUAAGCUGCCACUGACAUUGAUGCUCGAAAGUGUGGGCAUCAAACAGGAUUAGAUACCCGGGUAGUC